CCUACGGGUGGCUGCAGUGAGGAAUAUUGGUCAAUGGGCGGAAGCCUGAACCAGCCAAGCCGCGUGAGGGAAGAAGGUACAGCGUAUCGUAAACCUCUUUUGUCAGGGAACAAAGGCGGGGACUAGUCCCCGGAUGCGGGUACCUGAAGAAAAAGCAUCGGCUAACUCCGUGCCAGCAGCCGCGGUAAUACGGAGGAUGCGAGCGUUAUCCGGAUUUAUUGGGUUUAAAGGGUGCGCAGGUUGGUUUUUAAGUCAGCGGUAAAAGGCCGGGGCUCAACCCCCGCGAAGCCGUUGAAACUGGAGGGCUGGAGUUGGAGAGAGGUACGCGGAAGGCGCGGUGUAGCGGUGAAAUGCUUAGAUAUCGCGCAGAACUCCGAUUGCGAAGGCAGCGUACCGGCUCCAAACUGACGCUGAGGCACGAAAGCGUGGGUAUCGAACAGGAUUAGAUACCCCAGUAGUC
rnacentral:rRNA from 1 species